AUUGAACGCUGGCGGCAUGCCUUACACAUGCAAGUCGAACGGCAGCACGGGGGCAACCCUGGUGGCGAGUGGCGAACGGGUGAGUAAUGCAUCGGAACGUGCCCAGUAGUGGGGGAUAACCCGGCGAAAGCCGGGCUAAUACCGCAUACGACCUAUGGGUGAAAGCGGGGGACCGUAAGGCCUCGCGCUAUUGGAGCGGCCGAUGUCUGAUUAGCUAGUUGGCGGGGUAAAGGCCCACCAAGGCGACGAACAAUAGCUGGUCUGAGAGGACGACCAGCCACACUGGGACUGAGACACGGCCCAGACUCCUACGGGAGGCAGCAGUGGGGAAUUUUGGACAAUGGGCGCAAGCCUGAUCCAGCCAUGCCGCGUGCGGGAAGAAGGCCUUCGGGUUGUAAACCGCUUUUGGCAGGAACGAAACGGCGCGGGUGAAUAUCCCGCGCUAAUGACGGUACCUGCAGAAUAAGCACCGGCUAACUACGUGCCAGCAGCCGCCGUAAGAC
rnacentral:rRNA from 1 species